GAACCGACCCAUGUAUAUACUAAAAAACAAAAUAUUUAAUAUUACAACCCUAAAUGGCGUAAUCGGUAAUCGAAAUCGAAAAUUAGGUCUCACUUUCUCACUUAGCACCGUUCUUAAUAUUGCUCAUCUCCCUUCCCCUGAUCGAAGCUGACGACGCAACACUCCGACGAGCUCAACCCCAUUCCCAAACCGCCGACGCCACCCAUCCAAAGACCAAAGCUACUAGCCUGCUACCGUGCUACGCCUCUGACAGUUCCUUCUCCCGUCUCACUUAUCAAAUUCUCAGGAAACUACCGACUAUUCUAAUCUUCUACACCGGUUCAAUUUAUGAAAUUAUUACACCCUAAUGUUCAAUUUCUUAUUCCGACUGCUAUAAAUUUGUAUAUAAUACACAAUUUGUUAACUCAAAGUUGAUGGUUUGGUUUUGGAUUUGUUUAUGAAUUAUAAUGCUGAAAUAUCGGCGAUUUAUUAUGAAUUCUGUCAUUCUGAUGCUGAAAUAUUGUUCAUGAAUUUGUUUAUGAAAUAUAAUGCUUAAAUAUUGUUCCUGUA